ACCCGUGACCGGCCUAGCGUCUAGUUCCGCACCAUGUGAACGCUGUAUGUUCUUCGCGCUGUUUGUGACUGUAGAAAAGGGCUUCAGCGCAACUUUGCACUCGUGACUUGCGUGUAUGCGAUUCUUGGAUACGUACUCCGGGCUGACAGCGACGGAACCGAGCGGCCAACGAUCGGCGCUGAAAGGUGGGGAUAACCUAGCCUCUGCCGCGCCGCCCGUCAGGAAACGUGUUUGGUUCUCGACCGCGCUGUCAGCCAUGGGUCUCAGCGACAGCGAUGGAAGGGAGCCCAUCCUGAGUGUGGAUGGGUCAAGCCACCCUGAGGGGCCUAUGAGUGAGGCUGAGGUGAAGCCCUGCUCUCCGCAAGGGGGUGACGCCAACCACAACCACCCCACCACUCUCAACUUCGCUGCCGCCGCAACCAACGGGAACAGCACUGGCAGCCUUUCACCACAAGCACCCCCUGGCCAGCCCUCGGUGACCAGUGCAACACCAGUGGACGCAUCCACCCCAGUUGCAUCCACACCUGUUAGCAAGGCUGACAUGGAGCUGCUUGCACGCCUUGAAGAGCAGAAUAGGCUCUUGGAAUCAGACUCAAAGUCUUUGAACUCACUGACUUCAACACACUCCAGAAAAUCUUCGGACACCAGCCAGGUGUCAGUGGCAUCAGGUGCGAGCCAGCAGAGUGCUGCCAUGGACGAUGACUCGGAAGAUACCUGGGUACUAUGGGGAAGGAUGGUAAAUGAGUGGGACACGUACAUCAAGAAGAAAAAUGCCUAUGUCAAGGAACAAGUUCGCAAGGGUAUCCCGCAGCACUUCCGGGCCAUUGCAUGGCAGCUAUUGUGCAAUGCACCCACAUGUGCAGCUCGUGAGCAGUAUGCAGAGUACCUCAAGGCAAGCUCACCUUGUGAGAAGGUGAUCCGCCGCGACAUUGCACGUACCUACCCUGAGCAUGAGUUCUUCCGUGACAAAGAUGGUCCUGGUCAAGAGGGCCUUUUCAACGUCAUGAAGGCUUACUCACUGCAUGACCGAGAAGUCGGCUACUGUCAGGGUAGUGCCUUCAUCGUUGGCCUAUUGCUUCUUCAGAUGCCUGAGGAAGAGACAUUCACAGUGCUGGUGCGAAUGAUGCAAGACUAUCGUCUGCGGGAAAUAUACAAGCCCAGCAUGGCUGAACUGGGACUGUGCAUGUACCAGCUGGAGUGCCUUGUACAGGAGCUGGUGCCCGAGAUCCACAUGCACUUUCAAGCUCAGAGCUUUCACACAUCUAUGUAUGCCUCCUCGUGGUUUCUCACUCUGUUCACUUCCUGCUUGCCGCACACCCUAGCAUGCCGCGUCAUGGACCUUUUUCUCUCUGAGGGGAUGGAGAUGAUAUUCAGGAUAGCCAUAGCUAUUCUCCAAUUUUGCAAGGAAGACAUACUCCAGCUGGACAUGGAAGGCAUGCUAAGGUACUUCCAAAAGGAAAUGCCAAGCAAGUGUGAAACAGAUCCUGAUUAUCUUAUAAACCUGGCUCUGCAAGUGAAGUACAACAGCAAGAAAAUAAAAAAGCUAGAAAAAGAGUACACAGCACUUAAGGUUAAAGAACAUGAAGAAAUGAUUGAGCUGAGGAGGCUUCGUACAGAGAACAGGCUUCUAAGACAAAGGAUAGAACACCUUGAGCAGGAGAGCUCUGCGCUGGCUGACCGUUUGAUACAAGGCCAGGUGGUGCGGGCUCAGGAAGCAGAAGACAACUACAUCAUCAAGCGGGAACUUGCUGCACUUCGCCAGCAAGAGCUCACAGUUCAGCAGGAGCUGCAGAAAGCCAACAACCAAAUCAAGGAGCUUCACCAGGCGCAGACACAGCCAUCAUCACUGGACAGCCAGACAGAGGAUCUGCUCAAGUCACUGCAAGAUGAACUGGUGGCUGUAAAGCUGCGUGAAGCCGAGGGCCAAGAGACUAUGCGUGGCCUUCGCCAGAGGAUACACGAGCUUGAAGAGGAAAAUAAGCGGCUAAGGGAAGCAACACCAGAUGAUAGCGUGGCAAAUUUACAGGAAGAACUGAUAGCAGUGAAAUUGCGUGAAGCUGAAGCUAAUCUGUCCAUGAAAGAACUUCGACAAAAAGUGGCCGACUUGCAAGCUGCCUGGGAGAAGCACCGCUCCGAGAAUCCCCAUCAGUUGGACAACCAGUCGACGCCAUCACGAUGGAGUGGAAAUAAGUCGCAGGUGAACCAGCUUCAGGAAGAACUGAUGACUGCUCGGCUCAAGGAAGCUGAUGCUACUGCUGAGCUGCGAGAACUGCGUCAAAGAGUGAUGGAGCUGGAAACUCAAAACCAAGUCAGCCUGAACCAAAUCCGCCGACAAGCAGAUGAAAUUGCAAAGUAUCAGCAAAUGUCUGACAAGGUUUCAGAGAAGGAACGUGAGUUGCACUCACUUGUCCAGGAUGAGGCACGCAAGAUCACAAACUUGGAAUCACAGAUGAAGGAAGAGAGGAUGAACGCUCGGAUUCGGGAAGUGGAACACACCCAAAUCAUUGCCGAGAUGAAGCAGAAAAUCUCUUCUCUUGAGAUCAAGAAUCAAGAGCUGCUUACGGCUGGUCAACUGAGGGGCAGCACUGAGUCUGAAGAAGUGAAAGAGCUCCAGGAUAAGGUGUCAGACUUGAAGGCUGAGAAGUUCCGCUUAGAGCUGCCCUCCCCGAUCUUGCCAAGCUUGUUGCACCCGUCGCCGCUCACCCCCAUGGGGUGGGACUCUGGGCUGGGACUUGAGCAACUCUAGAUCGCGCUGCCUCUCACUCUCACACUGCUCUCUCUCUCUCUGCCACGCAAGUAAAAGGUUAUGCAGCUGCAGAUAAUGAACAAGCGCUUGAGCUCUGCGCUGGCAGUGGCUCGACUGCGGCAACCAGAUGCACAGAAGGCUGGAGCAGCAGCGGCG
rnacentral:misc_RNA from 1 species